rnacentral:rRNA from 1 species
AAUAGAUACCCCGGUAGUCCACGCCGUAAACGAUGAGUGCUAAGUGUUAGAGGGUUUCCGCCCUUUAGUGCUGCAGCUAACGCAUUAAGCACUCCGCCUGGGGAGUACGGCCGCAAGGCUGAAACUCAAAGGAAUUGACGGGGGCCCGCACAAGCGGUGGAGCAUGUGGUUUAAUUCGAAGCAACGCGAAGAACCUUACCAGGUCUUGACAUCCUCUGCCAACCCUAGAGAUAGGGCGUUCCCCUUCGGGGGACAGAGUGACAGGUGGUGCAUGGUUGUCGUCAGCUCGUGUCGUGAGAUGUUGGGUUAAGUCCCGCAACGAGCGCAACCCUUGAUCUUAGUUGCCAGCAUUUAGUUGGGCACUCUAAGGUGACUGCCGGUGACAAACCGGAGGAAGGUGGGGAUGACGUCAAAUCAUCAUGCCCCUUAUGACCUGGGCUACACACGUGCUACAAUGGAUGGUACAAAGAGCUGCGAACCCGCGAGGGUAAGCGAAUCUCAUAAAGCCAUUCCAGUCGUAGUGUAGU